rnacentral:rRNA from 1 species
CAGGGUGACAGGUGGUGCAUGGUUGUCGUCAGCUCGUGUCGUGAGAUGUUGGGUUAAGUCCCGCAACGAGCGCAACCCUCGACCUUAGUUGCCAGCAUUCAGUUGGGCACUCUAAGGUGACUGCCGGCUAAAAGUCGGAGGAAGGUGGGGGAUGACGUCAAAUCAUCAUGCCCCUUAUGACCUGGGCUACACACGUGCUACAAUGGGCGGUACAAAGGGUCGCGAACCCGCGAGGGGGAGCCAAUCCCAAAAAGCCGCUCUCAGUUCGGAUUGCAGGCUGCAACUCGCCUGCAUGAAGCCGGAAUCGCUAGUAAUCGCGGAUCAGCAUGCCGCGGUGAAUACGUUCCCGGGCCUU